rnacentral:misc_RNA from 1 species
GGAAGGAUCAUUAUUGAAUGAACUUGGUGUGGUUGUUGCUGGCCCUCUCGGGGGCAUGUGCACACCCGCCAUCCUCAUCUCUCCACCUGUGCACCUCUUGUAGACCUG